AGAGUUUGAUCAUGGCUCAGAUUGAACGCUGGCGGCAGGCCUAACACAUGCAAGUCGAGCGGCAGCACGGGUACUUGUACCUGGUGGCGAGCGGCGGACGGGUGAGUAAUGCCUAGGAAUCUGCCUGGUAGUGGGGGAUAACGCUCGGAAACGGACGCUAAUACCGCAUACGUCCUACGGGAGAAAGCAGGGGACCUUCGGGCCUUGCGCUAUCAGAUGAGCCUAGGUCGGAUUAGCUAGUUGGUGAGGUAAUGGCUCACCAAGGCGACGAUCCGUAACUGGUCUGAGAGGAUGAUCAGUCACACUGGAACUGAGACACGGUCCAGACUCCUACGGGAGGCAGCAGUGGGGAAUAUUGGACAAUGGGCGAAAGCCUGAUCCAGCCAUGCCGCGUGUGUGAAGAAGGUCUUCGGAUUGUAAAGCACUUUAAGUUGGGAGGAAGGGCAGUUACCUAAUACGUAUCUGUUUUGACGUUACCGACAGAAUAAGCACCGGCUAACUCUGUGCCAGCCGCCGCGGUAAUAC
rnacentral:rRNA from 1 species